AAAUCAUGUAGCUGGCAAGGUAAUGUUUCAUGUAGUUUGAUAUAUAUUCAUAAAAAUUACUCAACACGAUUAAAUUACUAAAUAUUUAACUAAAAUGUAAAAGAAGAUAAAUAUAAAUUUAAAUAAAUACAUUUAAAAUCUGAAUUAUUUGCUCCCUUUGAAUCCAAAUGAAAAUGUUUAAAUGUCUGAACACUUGACGAUGAAUAAUGAAUCAAAAGGACUGUCAUCUGAAGUGGAGCACAUGCAGUACGUCACACUGGUGGUUUGCUGCAGAUUAGGACAAAUGUUCUGAUCUUCUGGGUUUUGUAGUGUGUGCUGUAUCCAUACUCCAGUACCUGUGUGCUGAUCUCAACAUCUCUGCAGAGCCUGAGGGGCUUUGUUUGGGUCUUUAGUGCUUUUCUCAUUUAAUUUGUGUCUGAAUAAUUUAUAUUAGUGAUACAUUUUUUGGUAGGUUUCAUUCUGCCAGCUGCGUCCUGUUUAAACAUCUCACUGCUGUCUCUUCAGCACCGCUACGGCAUUAGGAUGGAGAAGUGUGUGUGUGUGUGUGUGUGUGUGUGUGUGUUUUCUGUCCUCACUAGCUGCAUCAGACUCUCACUGGAAACCACUGGAUGGAACAAGAAAAAUGACUAAAACCAUGGGGGGAGAACCUGUAUAUUACUUCUGUUUAUAUAAAAAUGGAUGACCUUUGACCCACUGCCCUCUGCAUUCGUCCGCACCGCAGCAGGCACGAUGUGUGACCUUUGACCUCUGAGGUGUGUGAGGUCAGGAUGCAGAUGAUGAGCGUCGUGUUUCUCGUCUGGUCAGAAACAGUACCUCAGUAACAGCAGGGUGAGCGCUGCGAUCUGAUUAGUUGCCCUUUUGCUGGAAGCUUUUCUCAAACACACACUCUGAGUUUUGGAGCUUCUUGACUUUUCAGAUGGAGAGGCUUUUUAUCCUCACACCAAAGCGUGCAGCCGUGAUGUGACAGUCUCCGCCCCCGCCGCUUCCCUCCAGAGGUCAGAGGUCACCUGACUUUCACAUCCACCCACACCUGACCUCAUUUUCUCCAUCUGUCCGCGGCGACCGUCAUCUGAAAAUACUACAGUCUUCUGGUGCGGCCGAGCGCGAUGAUAAAAAGAAAUGUUCUACUCAUCAGCGCAUGCACAAGAAUCCAGAUGCUGUUCAUUACCACCGAAAUACACUUAAAGGAAUAGUUCACCAAAAAAUUCUUAUCGACUUCUAUAGUAGGAAAAAAAAUACCAUGGAAGUCAAUGGUGAGCCAAAACAAAAAAAUACAUAGAGGUUUAUAACUACUUGAAGUA